GAAAUGCGAUACGCAAUGCGAAUUGCAGAAUUCCGCGAAUCAUCAGAUUCUUGAACGCAACUGGCGCUGGAGGGAUAUCCUUCCAGCAUGUCUGUUUCAGUGUCUGAAAACUUCCAAAUCAAUUUAAUGUGUUUGACAAGGGGCAUUCCUUUAUGGACUGCAUUUUCCAAGUCUUACAUGAAAGAUGUAUAUGUGGGUCUUUGGAUCCAUCGAAUUGGUCACUGAUUCUUCGGUGAUUUCGAUUGGAUUUCACCAAUUACUCGUAUACAUAUAGAAAUUAUAUUUAUACAUACUUUAUCAUCUGCAUCUGAAAUCAGGCAAGAAAACCCGCUGAACUUAA
rnacentral:misc_RNA from 1 species